rnacentral:lncRNA from 1 species
UUGAUUGGAUCAUUGCUUUCCAGCAUUCCCUGUUAUUCUACUUUGAAAUCAUCCAUCAUGCCACAAGAACUGAUGGUUCGUGAUGUCAAGAAAUCUGUCCUAAUUGUUCAAUUGUAACCUCGUAAUUGUGUUCUUUUACAGGAGAAAUUGGUGCAGCACUCAGCUUCCUACCGCAUUAACACUAGCACUAACAGCGUCUGGGGUUUGUUAUGGCUCACCAGUCACUGUUUCUUUGGGUUCUGAGAUGGGGGGGGGGGGGGGGGGUCCCCGGAUCUCCAAUUCUGCUUCGUCCAGAGCAUCAAGAGGGGCACUGCUGUCACCGAAGAUGCGAAGAAAUGGUAGAAUCAGCUGUCCCUGGGAACGUUCGACUCCUUCUGUUCUGCUUUCUCCGCAGCAUCAAGAGGGUCGUUGCUGUCGACGAAGAUUUCCCCGGUCGUCGCCGCAUCAGCGCUCUCGCCGUCGGCCUUCUUCUAGCGUCCGUGCGAUGACGCCACCGUCUCUGCACCAGAGUCCUUGUCGCCCGCCUACCUCUUACGCCCAGGCCCCGCCGCCGUGUCCGCACCAAUCUCCUCGUCCGCCCCCUCGCGUCGAGGCGUCACCGCUGCAGACGCAGCGGGGCCCUCGGCGUCCUCUUCCGCUACCGCCAUAGAACUCUCGUCGUCCACGUCGGCAUUCGGCUUGCUUUACACCUUGCACAUGACAAGAAGGUCCGAGGAGCCCGCUUCUUGGCCGCCUUCAUCGGAGUCGAGGCUGAGCUCCCACCAUGCGCCAUGUCGAACGCACAUGAUUGCCGUCCACUUCUCCAAGGCAAAAGGCCGAUGCUGCCCUAUCCGCUGCCGGCGGCCGCCGCGGUCGGAGAACACGGCGGUCACGGCCUCGUGGUUGGAUCUUCCUUCCCUCCCGGUGUCCACUGUGCGCUUCUUGCGCUUGUCCACUUUGCGCUUGUGCUUCUUGGAGGGGGCCUUGGGGCGCAGCGUGGUGAAGAAGUACCACGUCCUCUCCGCAUCGUCCGCAGGCCCCCUCCAAGAAUUCGGUGGCGUAGGUACGAGUCGAUGAGCUCCUCGUAAGUGGGGCGGCCGGUGAAGGUCGCAGGAGGCGGCUUGGGCCAGGAGGAACCGACGGCGAAGGUAGGAGGCGGUAGAUUGGGCGGGCUGCCAGCCGUGGCGAAGAUGGAAUGGUUUCGGCCUUUUGGGAACCGUUGUGAGUUGCGAUCACGAGGAGGCGAGGCGAGGCGAGGCGCGGCGGCGGUUUAUACAGCCAGCCGGACGGUCCACUCGUUGGUUUCUGUAGUUCCACUUGUUUGUAAAUUAAUUUCUCUUUCAUUGUUUAUUAUUAUUAUUAGGACCUAUAUGGAUGCAUGAAAAAUUUUCCAGUUCAUGUGUUUUUCUAUGAAAUUGGAUUGUUUCAUGUGAAAUUAGCACAUGAUUCAUGUGAAAUGCCAGCGUUCCAAGCAAGUCUUUUUUUUUCAGAAUUACACAAUGCAGAUACUCAUAACGCACGUACACUUACCCCUAUGUACACACGUACAUAAAUACUAUCCAUAUGAAUACCUCUCAAGGACUGAGCCGACAGAUCACCAGAUUCACGAAGUCACCACGGGCGUCUUGAACUUUAGUUUCUGUUUGCGUUUAAUAGAAAGAAAUUGGGGGAAAAUAUAUGAAGAUUUGUGAACAUUAAUUUCUGCUGCAUUUGCGAAUUGAACUAAGGAUGCAUAAUCCUCCAUAUAAAGUUUAGCUCGAGUCAGAUCGGUUGUUUGGAAUCAGGACUAAAUAUGAGUCAAUUAUGAAACUACGCGUGAUGAAGCCUAAUUAACUCAUGAUCAGCAUAUGUUAGUUGUGUUUUAUUGUUGUGCGGCAUCUCAUGAUAGGAACGAGAAAAGCUUUAUGGUACGUUGUUCUCGCAAACCAAAAAAUGUUUUAAGGGAUGGAUCAUAAAUCUCUAGUAUUGACUGCUUAUGGUACAUUGAUGCUUCAGGCGUUCUCUUCUCAAGAGUUGCAAUGAACAACACGGUACUUCACAAAUACGGAACUGUUUUGAAGGCUGAAGCAAGCAUCUCGGAAUUUUCAAGUUUCAGCGUCGUUUCAUGGGUUUCUGAGACGUGCAUUUCUACAUGUCCGCAAUGGGAUCGUUCAGAUCGUGUAGAAUCGUUGCUCUGAACAUUUGGUGCACUAUAUUCUGACGAAGGUCCGGUCAGGUAGCAAGCAGUAUCACACUCUGCUUCCUGCAUUCCUUUUCAAAGAUGAAGAGAGAACCACUCCUAAACUAAACCACGAAACUACCCUAAUUAUUAACCCCCAAACCUCGUAAUGCCUUCUUCCGACAAAUACACAAGAAAUGAGUUCUUUACCCCUGCCAUCAGAUUACUCCAAAUCCAUGGCUCUGUUUCCAGGAUUUGUCGGGGGAGAAGCCCUGGAACUCACAGGAACUGAAGGAACCGAACAUUCUUCUGUGAAGAACCACGCGUCUGGCCUCGCGGCGGAGUACCGGACGCCGACUCGUCCUUGGCGAUCGCGGUCUCCGAUUUGGACUCGGCCUUUUUCAGAGUGACCACCAGAUGGGUGCCGCACUGAGGGCACUGCAUUUCCGUCGCAGAAACUGGAGCAGCGCCAGGGGAGCUGCUGCCGUCGGCCUUUUUCUUGCGCGCCCGCGCCGCGUCGGAGCUCUCGUCGUCCAAGGCCUUCCUCUUGCGUGGAGGCGCCGCCGCGGACGUCUCGACGGAGUCCUCGUUGAUCUCCUCCUUCUCCUUGCGUCCGGGCGCCGCCGCGGCCCCGCCGGAGAUCUCGUCGUUCGCUUUGCUAUGGCGACUCGGCGCCGCCACCGUCCCUUCGCUGGAUUCCACGUCGUCGGCUCUCCUCUUCUUGGGUCCAGACGCCGCGUCUAGCGACGCGUUGGAGCUGUCGUCGUCGUAGUAGUAGUCGUUGUCAUCCAACGUGGCGUCGCUAGAUUCGUCGUCGUCGUCGUCGGCCUCCGCCUUGUGCCCGGGCGCCGCCGCCGCCGCCGCCGAAGCCGAAGCCGUGGCCCCGCUGCCGCUUGGCUCUGGGUUGCGCGGGCUGCGGUACACCUUGCACAGGACGCGAUUUCCGAGGGCGCUAUCCUCCGCCUCCGGUUUCUCGCCGUCUUUGAGGAGGCGGAGCUCUAUCAUGAGCCACCCCGUGCGGACCCGCACGCCGGUGUCCUUCUUGACGAAGGAGAAGCUCUGGCGGUGCCCAAUCUGGUGCUGGUUGCCGUUGGUGACCAUGUACACGGGCUUCGAUUUCGCCUCGUUGUGCCAGCACCCGCUGCCGGUGGCCACGGUGCGCGUCUUCCGCUUCCCGUGGAGGCUCUUGUGGCGCAGCGGCGUGUAGAAGUACCACGCCCGCUCACCGUCGCAGGCCACCGCCGGCGGAAACUGCCGUGUGAGGUCGGCGGGGUCGGCGGCGUACACGUCGGCGUCGUGGAUGAACGCGCCGGUCUUGGCGCCCGUCUCGACCCAGGUGCGGAGGUAGGAGUCGACGAGCUCCAGAUCGCUGGGGUGGGACUGGAACGCCGCCGACGGAGAGCGUAGCAUCAUGGCGAGGGUGCGGCGCGGUGGCGGUGGCGGUGGCGGCGGGGUUGGAGGGCGAGGGGAGGGGGAGGGGGAGGGGGAAGGGGACGAGACGACUCGGAAUUUGAGAUGGAAUGGAACCGGGCUGAGGCAUCGGGCACGGGGAACCGCCGCUUUAUAUGGCCGCCAUCGAUUCACGCGGUUGCCUUUUGCC